UACGAGGGGUGCAAGCGUUAAUCGGAAUUACUGGGCGUAAAGCGCGCGUAGGCGGCUGAGUAAGUCGAUCGUGAAAUCCCCGGGCUCAACCUGGGAAUUGCAGUCGAGACUGCUCGGCUAGAGUGUGGGGAGAGGGUGGUGGAAUUCCCGGUGUAGCGGUGAAAUGCGUAGAUAUCGGGAGGAACAUCAGUGGCGAAGGCACCACCUG
rnacentral:rRNA from 1 species